rnacentral:lncRNA from 1 species
AGGGCUCCCCAAAGCCAGGGGAGCGUGAACGACAGAGGUUUAAAGCAAACGGGGGGGAGGCUUGCGGACUUGAGGGGGGGGUAACAUCGCUCCUUCAGACAGAGGCAGCUCAACCUUCCUUCCCGAGAGGGCGGCGUUUUUUAAAUCGUGCAUUAAAAUUCCUUUAAAGGGGGUGGGGGGGUGGGAAGGGAGGGGGUCUCCCCUCGGCGAGGGGCGGUCGGCAGAGGUGAGUGCGCGGAAGGGGCGCGGGCGGGCGGCAGCGGGGCGGCUAAGCAAAUUGCGUAGCGGGGCUUCGGUGGGCUUCCAUGCUCCAGCACAGCAAUUGCGCACGGUCCCUUACGUAACUGUCAGCUGGGGAUUCCCUAGAGGGGGGUCACUUUAUUCAACCAUUACACAGACCCCGGCCGCCGCUCCGCCGCGCCGGGCCCGCCGCUGCCGCCGCCACUGGCUGAGGGCUGCGGCUCGGCAGCUUCAGCGCAGCGGCUCCUCACAAAAUGGCGGCGCCCAUGGAAAACGGCAGCCCCAUUUUGUGCCCGGCAGAGCCUUGUCAACAAAACGCCGACUUGGCCAAGGCUGAGGAACAGAAGGCGGCGGCUCGUUCGCGUUGCGGAGAGGGAGGAGAGCGAAAGGAUUUCACCGCCCUCCCGCCGCCGAGAGGAGACUUUCUAUCAAGUUGCGUGCCUUAUGAAUAAACCGGCUAUUAGGCUGAGGCUUCAAGUAACACUAUCCAGCACCAAGGUUUUUGUGAUUGUCAUUUCUACCACAGUCCAUUGGCUGGGUCUCUGCAAUCCCUUGGCAGAGCAUGGGGGAACAAAGAGGGUGAUGCCAUCCAAAUGUUCUCUCCCUGCGAUCGUGGUUAAUAAAGCUCCUGUUUGACCUGUCCUAAAUUGUACUUGUGUUAUUACGCACUUGGAUUCCCCAAUCUCUGACACCAACGUGCAACUACAAAAUUGGAUGGUCACAAGGUCCUUAUGAUAGGAUAGCAAGAAAGUCAGUUGCAUAUU